GACAGAGGGUGCAAACGUUGUUCGGAAUUACUGGGCGUAAAGCGCGUGUAGGCGGCUUGGCAAGUCGGGUGUGAAAGCCCUGGGCUCAACCUAGGAAGUGCACUCGAAACUGCUUCGCUAGAGUGUCGGAGAGGAAAGCGGAAUUCUCGGUGUAGAGGUGAAAUUCGUAGAUAUCGAGAGGAACAUCGGUGGCGAAGGCGGCUUUCUGGACGAUUACUGACGCUGAGACGCGAAAGCGUGGGGAGCAAACAGG
rnacentral:rRNA from 1 species